UACGGAGGGAGCUAGCGUUGUUCGGAAUUACUGGGCGUAAAGCGCACGUAGGCGGCUUUGUAAGUUAGAGGUGAAAGCCCGGGGCUCAACCCCGGAAUUGCCUUUAAGACUGCAUCGCUUGAAUCCGGGAGAGGUGAGUGGAAUUCCGAGUGUAGAGGUGAAAUUCGUAGAUAUUCGGAAGAACACCGGUGGCGAAGGCGGCUCACUGGCUCGUAACUGACGCUCAUGCACGACAGCGUGGGGAUCAAACAGG
rnacentral:rRNA from 1 species